GAUUAACGCUGGCGGCGUGCAUCAAGCAUGCAAGUCGAGCGCGGGAUGUCGACUUCGGUUGGCAUCUCUAGCGGCGAACUGGUGAGUAACACGUGAGCAACCUGCCUUUGAGUUCGGGAUAGCCCUGGGAAACCAGGAUUAAUACCGAAUGUGGUCACGAUGCGACAUCGCAUUGUGUGUAAAGGGGAAACCCGCUCAAAGAUGGGCUCGCGGCCUAUUAGCUUGUUGGUGGGGUAAUGGCCUACCAAGGCAUUGAUGGGUAGCUGGUCUGAGAGGA
rnacentral:rRNA from 1 species